CGUAGGUGGCAAGCGUUGUCCGGAUUUUAUUGGGUUUAAAGGGUGCGUAGGCGGUCCUAUAAGUCAGUUGUGAAAUACGGCAGCUUAACUGUCGAGGUGCAAUUGAUACUGCAGGACUUGAGUACAGACGAGGUAGGCGGAAUUGACGGUGUAGCGGUGAAAUGCUUAGAUAUCGUCAAGAACACCGAUAGCGAAGGCAGCUUACUAGACUGUAACUGACGCUGAUGCACGAAAGUGUGGGGAUCAAACAGGAUUAGAUACCCUGGUAGUCCACACUGUAAACGAUGAUUACUCGAUGUUGGCGAUACACAGCCAGCGUCUUAGCAAAAGCGAUAAGUAAUCCACCUGGGGAGUACGCCGGCAACGGUG
rnacentral:rRNA from 1 species